AUUUAAAUAGCUUAAUUGAAGAGUGUAAUAUUGAAAAUAUUAAGGUAAUUUUUAAUUUUUAGAUA
rnacentral:tRNA from 1 species